GCUGAGAGGAUACAUAAAACCAGAGGGAGGAAAUAUUGGCUGCCUGAAGAGGGUUUUUUCCCCCCUUCUGUGAUAUGAACUGCAAAUAAGCCACUGGACUGCACCACAGAGAGCAACGGAGAUUUAGUCAACUGAGCUCUACUCAGGAAAUGCUCUACAUCAGAAAAUUCAGGGCAUAAUUGUACUUGGCAAUCGAUGUGAGCACACAUUCUGAGUGAACUUGGAAAUUAACCCGGAUCGCCAUUCUUCCUCUCGUCUUUCCAGUGAUAGACCAAGGUAGAGGAAAACCUAAUCCCAUACUUUUCAAAAAGAUAAAAAAGAGAAAAGAAUGAAUCACACUGAAGAUAUCAAAAUGAAAACCAGUCAGCAGCUCAUGGGAGGACAAGUACAGAGACAUAAAUGAGCAGAAAG